GAGGGUAUAGCUCAGUGGUAGAGCCCUUGCUUAGCAUGCAUGAGGUCCUGGGUUCAGUCUCCAGUACCUCCA
rfam:Camelus ferus unplaced genomic scaffold scaffold2179, whole genome shotgun sequence.